AUUGAACGCUGGCGGCAGGCCUAACACAUGCAAGUCGAACGAGUGGCGGACGGGUGAGUAAUGUCUGGGAAACUGCCUGAUGGAUGGGGAUAACUACUGGAAACGGUAGCUAAUACCGCAUACCAUCAGAUGUGCCCAGGUGGGAUUAGCUUGUUGGUGGGGUAACGGCUCACCAAGGCGACGAUCCCUAGCUGGUCUGAGAGGCUGACCGGCCACACGGGAACUGAGACACGGUCCGGAUUCCUAGGGGAGGAAGCGGUGGGGAAUAUUGCAAAAUGGGCGAAAGCCUGAAGGAGCCAUGCCGCGUGGAUGAGUAGGGCCUUCGGGUUGUAAAGUACUUUCAGCGGGGAGGCGUUACCCGCAGAAGAAGCACCGGCUAACUACGUGCCAGCAGCCGCGGUAAUAC
rnacentral:rRNA from 1 species